rnacentral:rRNA from 1 species
GGUUAAGCGACUAAGCGUACACGGUGGAUGCCCUGGCAGUCAGAGGCGAUGAAGGACGUGCUAAUCUGCGAAAAGCGCCGGCGAGGUGAUAUGAACCUUUGACCCGGCGAUGUCCGAAUGGGGAAACCCAGUGUGUUCCGACACACUAUCGUUAACUGAAUACAUAGGUUAACGAGGCGAACCGGGGGAACUGAAACAUCUAAGUACCCCGAGGAAAAGAAAUCAACCGA